rnacentral:rRNA from 1 species
CUACGGGUCGCUGCAGUCGAGAAUAGUCUACAAUGGACGAAAGUCUGAUAGUGCGACGCCGCGUGGAUGAAGAAGCAUUUCGGUGUGUAAAGUCCUUUUCUGUGUGAGCAAUGUUUUCCAGGUUAAUAGCUUGGAGAAAGCGAUAUUAACACAGGAAUAAGCUCCGGCUAACUCCGUGCCAGCAGCCGCGGUAACACGGGGGGAGCAAGCGUUGUCCGGAAUUACUAGGCGUAAAGGGUAAGUAGGCGGAAUUGUAAGUCAGAUGUUAAAGGCACCGGCUCAACCGGUGUAUGGCAUUGGAUACUGUAAUUCUAGAGUAAGGGGGGGGAAGACGGAAUUCCUGGUGUAGCGGUGGAAUGCGCAGAUAUCAGGAGGAACACCAGAGGCGCAGGCGGUCUUCUAUACCAUUACUGACGCUCAAUUGCGAAGGUGUGGGUAUCAAACAGGAUUAGAUACCCUGGUAGUC